rnacentral:rRNA from 1 species
GAGUUUGAUCGUGGCUCAGAUUGAACGCUGGCGGCAGGCCUAACACAUGCAAGUCGAGCGGUAGAGAGAAGCUUGCUUCUCUUGAGAGCGGCGGACGGGUGAGUAAUGCCUGGGAAUCUGCCUGGUAGUGGGGGAUAACGCUCGGAAACGGACGCUAAUACCGCAUACGUCCUACGGGAGAAAGCAGGGGACCUUCGGGCCUUGCGCUAUCAGAUGAGCCUAGGUCGGAUUAGCUAGUUGGUGAGGUAAUGGCUCACCAAGGCGACGAUCCGUAACUGGUCUGAGAGGAUGAUCAGUCACACUGGAACUGAGACACGGUCCAGACUCCUACGGGAGGCAGCAGUGGGGAAUAUUGGACAAUGGGCGAAAGCCUGAUCCAGCCAUGCCGCGUGUGUGAAGAAGGUCUUCGGAUUGUAAAGCACUUUAAGUUGGGAGGAAGGGCAGUAAAUUAAUACUUUGUCUGUUUUGACGUUACCGACAGAAUAAGCACCGGCUAACUACUGUGCCAGCA